GUGUUGUGAUCAAAGUAAUUACCCCAAGUAACAACGGAAUCAGCUGUUUUCCAAGAAUAGUACAGAACUGAAAUCAAAAUAUUCCUAGUUUGACACAGAGAUAGAUAUUUGUUAUGUAAGAACAUUAAUGAAAAUGUUCUAGAAUAUUCAUUUAUUUAUUUAAAAAUUGAAGAAUACAAAUAUAAAUAUUUUGAAAAUUACAAGAUCAAUCCUAUCCCGUUCCUGUUCAGAUCGAUCGACAGAAGGAAAAUGCCUCGCAAAUGUAUAUUAGGGUGUGGAGGCUCGUUACGGAUACACAAAUUUCCUGGGGAGCGAGAAAUGCCCAUAUGGCAGAACCUUAAAAUGUUGGAUAUAUGUAUGUACUCAUAUAUAUGUAACUUGAAGUGGUGGAUCGAAAUCAAUGAAACACUCAAUUUCCAAUUUUUGGAUCAUACGUUAUUUUGCAUAUUGGGUGCAUAUAUAAUAAAUAAUUCAAUACAGUGAAAAAUUCAUAAACGAAUAAAGGUGAACACGUUUUUUUUGGGAUUGUGAUUAUUUUAGAUAUUCGGUUCGAAUUAAUAAUUAAAUGUUGAAAAUAUUAAAAAAAAAUAUAAGUGUAUAAAUGAACACUUAUAAGCCUCAGACUUUAAGGGGCACAUCUUGAGUGACCAUAAAAAAAUAUCUACACCAUCUAAUUUAGAAUUAAACAAAAAGUUAUUGCUUAUUUCGCAGAGUUUACGAUAAUUUAUUAAUUAUGUAUUUCGCGUAUAAAACUUCCUAUGCUAAUUUUAGUGAAAUCCUAUUUUGCGAUUUCAUAAUUAAUUUUUGAAUAUAUUUUUUAUUUAAUUAUAGUAUAUGAAAAUUAAAAAAAAAAAUUAUUUUAACUUCAAAAGUUUAAGUAAUCAAAAUAUGAGAAAACAAAAAAUUAAUUUAUUCAAAAUUUCACGCAGAUGUGCCCCUUGAUAAUAAAAAUUUCAAUUUGAAGCACAAAUAAUAUAAUACACACUAUGAGUAAUAAAUAUAGUAUAAAACUGCUGUGGUCAAAUAUUAAUUAAUAUAUUGUAACUAUGUAUAUUUGAUUUCAUAAUUUUUCAGCCAAAAUUAAGCCGACCGACAUACAGUGGGAGAGUCUCUUAAUUACCUCCCCUGUGGAUCUACUUGUACAAACAGUACCCGCAGAGGAAAUGGAUGCACCUUCUUGGUGUAUCCGAUAUAACUAAUAAAAAUUUGUAUGCCUGCGAUAGGCAUUUCUCGCUUCACCACCAAAAUAGGUUAAGACUAUCGAAAGAGGCAGUCCCCAAAAAAAAUUUGUUAAUGCCAACAGUGGCGAUAGUUUCGGACUGUGGUAGUUUAGUUAAAGGAAGGUUUUGCGAACCUGACGAACAGGACAAUGUAAAUACUUUAGGUCCUAUAGAGUCUAUUUGCACCACUUUCGGUGACGAGGUAGGAGACUGUACUUUGUGUUCACAUGAAGUGCAUGAGAAGGUGUCCCUUCACUACAAUAUAUUUUAGGAACACUCAUAUUCCUCACCUUUAGGAAGUUUAGGUAAUAAGGCGAUAAGUAGCAAAACGCAAACAGAUGCAUACCUAAGUGAAAGGACACCUAGGAAAAGAAAAUUUGUUAGCGAAAUAGUUAUAUUAAUUAUAGGAAUAUUAAUUUAGAAAAUGAGGUGCAAGAAUUAAAAAAACAAUUAGAAGAGAAGGAAAGAGAAAUUGAGGCCCUAAAAGGAAACAGUUUGUCUAUUGAAUAUAGUGAGAAUAGGCAAAUUGUUGAGCUAUGUAGCAAAUUGCCUCCACAUAUUGCUGCAUGUGUGAGGAAUAGUUUGUUUAAUAAUAACCGUAAUCUUCACGGUAAUAGAUACGAUAGGGAAUUAAAAAUCAUAGCUCUGGGGGUUCAUUUCUUGUCACCUCUAGCAUAUAGAUAUUUACAGCCCUCUUUUAAUUGGCCAUCACCAAGAACUUUGUCGAAAUUUAUUCAAAGUUGGCCACGAAGUGCUGGUUGCACGUAUAGCAGUAUAAAAACUCUGGAACUUCGAAGCCGUGGCUUUAUUAGUGACCAGAAAUACGUGUCAAUUUGCUGCCAUAAAAUGUCUUUGAAGACCCAUUUGCAGUAUGAUAGGUAUAGGGAUUUAAUUGUAGGUCUGGAGGAUUAUGGUGAUGAAAAUCGUACCUCCAGAAUUGCUUCAAGUGUUUUAACACUUAUGGUUCAAGGCAUAGGUGGGGAGCCUUGGUCUCAACCACUUGCUUAUUUUUUUGUGCAUAAAUCAUGCAAAGGAGAUGUUUCAAAACAAUACGUAUUCGAAGUUGCGACACAACUUCAGGGGAUAGGUCUUUACCCCUGCCAUUUUGUGUGUGACCAAGGGUCAAAUUUUGAAUGGAGAAGAAAUUGUAUUUUUUUACGAUUCUCCACAUCUUAUAAAAAGUGCGCGAAAUUGUUUGCGAAAUAGCAAGAACGUAGUUAGUUUUAAUGGACGUCUUGUGAAAUGGAGUGAUAUAAUUCACUUCCAUGAGCAAGACGCUCAACAAAGUAUUAGGUGUGCGCCUAAGAUAACUUCGGCUCAUCUUAGGCCAUCAACUUUUGAAAAAAUGAGUGUGCAUUUAGCUACACAGUUUUUCAGCAAUACGGUUGCUAGUGCAAUGUUCGCAUUAUAUAGCUCCGGGAAAUUUAAUAUUUCUAAGUCUCCAACUUUCCUUAAUACCGCCGAAUUUGUUCUUUUUUUUUGAUAAAAUUUUUAAUGUAUUUAAUAGUAGUAGGCUUGGAGCCCUACGAAAAUUGAAUGAUCCUUUUUUCAGUAGUAUGGAACAAAAUAACUUUCUCUUAGAAGCCGAGAAUUUUUUUAAAUCAUUGAAAGUCAAUGAUACGUAGGUCGUGAUAUCACGAAUACAUUUUCAUUUAUUAAAGGAUGGCUUCUAAACAUAAAAGGUUUACGACAUUUGUGGAAGAUCUUGUCCACCAAAGGAUUCGCAAAUAUUAGGACAAGAAAUCUUUGUCAAGACAGACUUGAACAUUAUUUCGGACAGAUUCGUAGAUUUUCCGAAAAUCCUGGGGCCUUAGGACAGUUAACUAUGUGACUAAGGGAAAUUGCGAACCUCGCAAAGAAUGGGAAGCUUUGAGUUCUAGCGCCCUUCAAAGCGUCUGCAACGACGUUUUGAUAAAUGAUAUUUCUUGGCAAACCUUUCCAAGAACCACUUCAAAAUAUUGAAAUCGCGGAAAUUGAUUUAAGUGAAAGUUUUUUCUUGAAACAAAAUUCAUUUGUUUAUUUUUGCGGCUAUAUGUAUUCAAAGUUUUUAAAACUUCAUAGUUGUUUGAGUCCGAUUCCUCAUUUCGAAGAAGAAACUGAUUCUCGUUUUCUUUUUUCUAUGGAAAAAGAAUAUAACGACUGCAGUCUGGUCAAACCAUAUUUUGCGAGAAUUUUGAUUCUUGCUGUCAUGUCCGUGGGUUUUCAAAAUGUUUAUUUGAAAAAAUGGGACACAUAGAGCCGUUUUAUUGCUGUGCUAAUUCUCAGCCAGACGUUCUUAAAUGCCUUUUCAUUAGGAUAAGAACGUAUUUUUCAAUAAAAAUUUUUAAUAAAUAGACGAGCACAACUGCUUUCAAGCAUGUGAAAUUUGUAUGUGUUGCACACAUGUAAAAUUUGUCUGAGUCCUUUGUCCGGGUGUUUGUCUGAAAAAAAUCUUCAUUGGUUGUCCGAGUUCUAAAUUAUUAACAUAAUUUAAUUUUGCUAUUUUUAAGUGCUCAAUUAAAUAUUACGAUAUAAAUGCACACUCGUAUAUUCUUGCUAUUAGGCACAUUCCGCAUUUUUUAUUCAUAGGACCCCCCCCCAUUCACACCACAUAUCAUUUGAAAUUUUUCAGGCUUUUGUUAGAUCUCCACUGUUGGCAUAUGUACAUAUUAUUAAAUAUUAUUAUAUAUGUAUUUUUAUAUAUUUUAUUAUACAUUAUUUUUGAAUUGUUUUUUACUUUUUAUUUAUUUUCAAAAUGAAUUGUUUUUGUAAAUAUUUGUUGCUUAGUUUUAAGGUAUAUAGGUGCAAAUAGGCCUCCGGUGGAACCGAACACCCAAAAAAAAUCGGUAACGCGCCUAGUUGCAUACCUCAUGGUGGUGUGGAAAAUGCAACAUAGGCACAAAAAUAUGUAAAAAAAGAAACAAUAAAUAAAAUCACUGAAAUAAAACAUUUA